UACGGAGGGAGCUAGCGUUGUUCGGAAUUACUGGGCGUAAAGCGCACGUAGGCGGCUUUGCAAGUUAGAGGUGAAAGCCCGGGGCUCAACUCCGGAAUUGCCUUUAAAACUGCAUCGCUAGAGUUGUGGAGAGGUAAGUGGAAUUUCCGGUGUAGCGGUGAAAUGCGUAGAUAUCGGAAGGAACACCGGUGGCGAAGGCGGGUCUCUGGGCCGAUACUGACGCUGAGGAGCGAAAGCGUGGGGAGCGAACAGG
rnacentral:rRNA from 1 species